rnacentral:lncRNA from 1 species
UCGUUUGAACCGAUGCUAAGGUAUGUGAGACAGUCCAUCAUGCUAAAUAUCACUGAAGAACAAUCAGAGCCUGAUGGUCCUGGUGCUGGAGCUGGAGACUUUGCAUGGUGUGAUUUGGUACGUGCAUGGAUUGGUGUAACAAGUGAUGAUGAUGAUAUGAGUAGUAAUAAGAUUGAAAGAAGAAGAGAUUGCUUCAUUAUUGCUAGUUUCUUUUGGUUUUUCUUUCUUUCAAGAUCGUAUGAGUUUUUUUUUUUUUUUUUGGCUAGGUUUAUAAUAGAAGCUAGAUUGUGGUUUUUAUAUAUGGGAAGUGAAAAAAAAGAUAAGAAUUGUGUUGUUUGGUUUUUGAAUUUGAAGUCCGGUUCUUGUUGCUUAAAUCUUGGAGAUUAGAGAUUAUUGUUUGAAUAAG